UAUUAUUAUGGAGAGGGAUUUGGUCCGAUUUACUUGAACAAUCUUGACUGCAACGGGACGGAAACUCACAUUAAUAACUGUACAUAUAAUCUGAUGCAUUCUUGCGGACACGGAAAUGACUUUGCAGUCAGUUGCUGGUAUACAAACACCAAGUAUAGACUAAAUGUAACAGAAAUAAAGUUAGUAAAUGGCACUGGACCACAUGACGGACGAGUAGAAAUAUUAAUGGACAACAAGUGGGGAACUAUCUUGCAACAGAACCAUCGAAUCCAACCAAAUUGCUGCAAACAUCCUGUGUAACAUGCUCAACUUAACGUUUACAGCUUAUUUUACGACAGCUGAAUAUGGUAGUGGUUCCGGUCCUGUUUAUGUCGGUAACUUAUACUGCAGUUCUUCACAUACACACAUUAACAACUGCACUUUCGAUCCGCCAAACAGACCAAGCUGCGAUCAC
rnacentral:lncRNA from 1 species